rnacentral:lncRNA from 1 species
AAAGAAUAGUAAUAAUACAAAUUUGGGUCAAUCACAAAUCAUAGUUAUGCAUUUAGUAAAACAAGAUUUUACAAAUUUUAUGCUCACACAGAGAACAUGCAGAUCAAGACUCAAAAGAAAACACGAUAACAGGGAACACAAAACCACGUUUCAAAAAUUACUCCUUCAAGAUCCUCCAGGUAGACACCCGUACUUGAUUUAUCUCAGAUAUUCAAGGCCUCAUAGAAGCCUUUGGACAAAGAUUAGUCUUAAGGGGGUUAUUGCGUAUGGUAAAUCAAGAAAAAAUCAAGAAACCCUAAUUUCUGAAAAUAAACUUUACAAAAAUUAAAAGAUCUCAUCUAAUGAGUUUGAAAAAACUAGUUUUCUUUCAAUUUUCCUUUGCAGAUCAUCCAGUUUCUCCAAGAUCUAGAUAUCUUGCUCUUCAGUAAUGGCUAUGAUAUCACUGUAGGACCAAGUUCAUACGAUAUUAGCGUUGAGAAGCAAUAAUAAACGGUCUUAGAGAAAAUAAAGUGCAGAAAUUAAAGAUUCAACACAAACGAUUUCUUUCGACCUAAGUCCCCGAGGCUCGACGAUCACUUCUAACGCCUACAUUCCCAUUGAGUAUCCAAUAAAUUGGAUUAUGCUUAGUUGCACUAAAUAGCCUCAAAAUGGUAGAGAAAGAUUACAAAUAUUUAACCAAUACAUGGAGAUAAAACCGAAAUACUUAUCUUUCGAAACACAAUGAUCGAUUUACGAAGAAUCACUAAGAAUCUUCUCGAAUACUUUGAAAACAGUAACUCAAAAGAACUCUCACGUUUUUACAAAAUGUUCACUAAGAAUAUCACAAAUCAGAGGCUAAGUAUUACAAAUAAUAAGUUUCAAAUCAAAAAUUAUAGAGAUGAAAGACAUAGAAGAGGAAAUCCUAGCAGUCGAGAGAGUUUCUCUCUAAAACCAAGAGCUAGUAUCAAAAUGCAAUGAAAAACCCGUCAAGUGCCAAGUGAAACGGCACAAACAAAUAAUAGAACCAUCCAGAACCUAGCAGUCAACGGCCAAGAUAGAGGAAUGUAUCUCAAUCCAGUUAAAAAUGCUUUACUAAUAAAGUCGCAUUUCUCAGAAACGCGCAUUUAGCACAAAUUCUACGAAUCCAACACAUAUUGUUAGCAAAGUCCAUCUUCGAAAAUCCAUCACUAAAAGCUAAAAAGAUGAAAAAUUAAAUUUUAUGACGAAAUUUGAGUACAAAUUCUUCACAAAAUCUGUGGAGAACGAGGGGGAAACAAAGGAAAAAAGAAAUAGUGACGAAUUUUGCUAACGAUGGUAUAUAAAUCUGGCUCUAAAAAUCCAUCACAAAAAUUCGGAAAAAGGAAUUAAAAUAUAAAGGAAAGUUAGUGGAAUAUCUACCAUAUCUCAUGCAUUAUUAGGAUAACAAAACAAUGAAAUUUGCAAUGAGAAAAGAAUAAAAGUGAUCACAUGGUAAAGCGAUGACAGGCAAGAAAGGGGAAAAGUGUGGAAAGAGAGGGAAAAAAUGUGCGUUGUUGUGCUUUCUUGAGAGGUUGAGAGAGUAAAAAAG